UAGGGAAUCUUCGGCAAUGGACGAAAGUCUGACCGAGCAACGCCGCGUGAGUGAAGAAGGUUUUCGGAUCGUAAAACUCUGUUGUUAGAGAAGAACAAGGACGUUAGUAACUGAACGUCCCCUGACGGUAUCUAACCAGAAAGCCACGGCUAACUACGUGCCAGCAGCCGCGGUAAUACGUAGGUGGCAAGCGUUGUCCGGAUUUACUGGGCGUAAAGCGAGCGCAGGCGGUUUCUUAAGUCUGAUGUGAAAGCCCCCGGCUCAACCGGGGAGGGUCAUUGGAAACUGGGUGACUUGAGUGCAGAAGAGGAGAGUGGAAUUCCGUGUGUAGCAGUGAAAUGCGUAGAUAUAUGGAGGAACACCAGUGGCGAAGGCGGCUCUCUGGUCUGUAACUGACGCUGAGGCUCGAAAGCGUGGGGAGCAAACAGG
rnacentral:rRNA from 1 species